GUGCCAGCAGCCGCGGUAAAACGUAGGAUCCGAGCGUUAUCCGAAUUCACUGGGCGUAAAGCGCGUGCAGGCGGUACAGCAAGUUGGAUGUAAAAUCUCCUGGCUCAACUGGGAGGGGACGUACAAAACUGCUGAACUAGAGGACGGCAGAGGAAGGUGGAAUUCCCGGUGUAGUGGUGAAAUGCGUAGAUAUCGGGAGGAACACCAGUGGCGAAGGCGGCCUUCUGGGCCGUACCUGACGCUCAGACGCGAAAGCUAGGGGAGCAAACGGGAUUAGAUACCCUCGUAGUCC
rnacentral:rRNA from 1 species